GCACUCUGACUAUUUCGGCCGCUUAGGGCGUACCCGCUAAUUACCCAAAUACCUAAAUAAAUUUGUUUAAAAUAUUUAUUGAGAUGACGCAAUUUUUAAUUCGGUGUACGAAUCAUUACAAGGUCAACAAGAUAAUAUUAUACUUGUUACGCCGCCAGUACCACUAAAAAUUCUAUUGAUUCUCGUCUAUAAAGAACAAUGUGAAAAUUUCCCACAUUCAGUACGAUUACAGAAACUUAAAAGGCUAGUCGCGAUGAUGAAAAUAAUUUGUGUGUGUCUUUUAUUGAUGUCUUUCAUGGCACUAAGUCUCGGCUUUUCCCAGCCCAUAAUACCUAAUACAAGAGCCGAAGGUUGUAUAAACGGAGUUUGUGCGCCGCAUUGCGCUUGGGAGGACGUAAAAUUGUUUCCCAACGACAGUUUAAAUCAACCAGGAAAGUGUAACAUCUUACGUUGCACUGACGACUUUAGUAUCGUCAUCACACCGUGUCCAUUUGACAUGACUGGACAGUAUGAAUGGAUCGGAAAAGACAACUCAAAACUAUAUCCAGAAUGUUGUGGAACGAAAACGAAAAGAAAUUGAUCUUCCUGCAUGUCUCUAUGUUACCGAAUGGAAUCUAUAUGUUAUGACAGUAGAGAUGUCGUUGAAGCAUAUUCACUUGAAAAUCUACUUAUAAUAAUCGAAAAAUAUAUUAGCAGAUCCAGACAUGGAA